rnacentral:lncRNA from 1 species
UUUUCUGUGGUUUGAAAACAGAUUCGUGACUGCAGACCUUACAGAUGGGUUCCUGUUUGGGACAGGUUAUUUUGUUUGUUUUUUAGAAAACUGUCAUUUUAUAUAUAUAUAUAUAUUUUUUUUUUUUUUUUUUUUUUUCUUAUAGGCAGUCUGAAGGCAACCUCCAGCAGGAACAAGCCGAUGCAAACUUCAGAAUGUUAAGUGGCCCUGAAUGAAUAAGAACUUGGGCUAAGAAGCCAAAGCUAUUCCUAUACUGCCUGUCCUUCCAAUACCACACUCUGGAAUGAUCCAUCUUUCAAAUUAUUAAGUAAAAGGCUGGCAGAGAGAAAAUUGUCCAGGCAACUUCUACUACUGCUGAGAUCUGAAAAUACAGUCCUAAAAAGAAAAAAAGUUCACUGCCCAUGUGGAGGUGUCUUUCUUCAGAGAGAAGCAGAUGGGUAAGUAAAUAAUUGAAUAAUAAUUAUAAAUAAUUGUAAAUUUUCAGUAAUUAAAAAAAACUAAAACAGGAGCUUUUGAUAGAGACUGGCAAAGUAAGGGAUAACUCCUCUAAGGUGAUUGUGGAAGACUCAUUCAGGAGGUCUCGUAUGAUCUUGG